rnacentral:rRNA from 1 species
UAAAAAAUUUUGGCGGUAUUUUAAGCUUAUUAGAGGAAUUUGCUCUGUGAUGGACACAACGCCUUAAUCUUACUUAAUUUAGUAAUUUAAAUCAGUUUGUAUACCACUAUAUUAAUUAUAUUGAAUAGUUAUAUUUAAAAUUUUUUUAAAAAAAUAUAUUAAGUCAAGGUGCAUCUAAUAAUUAUGAAUGAAGUGAAUUACAUUAAUUUUAAUGUAAUUUUUUACAUGAAAAAAUUAAUUAGGAUUUAAUAGUAAAAUACUAAUAUUAUGAGUAUUUGAAUCAAGCUCUAAAAUAUGCACAUAUCGCCCGUCGCUCUCAGAAGUGAGAUAAGUCGUAACAAAGUAAAAAUACUGGAAAGUGUUUUUUAAAAUGAAAUCAUUCGAUGUUUCAUUUACAAUGAAAAUUUUGUUGUUUAACCAUUUUAA